rnacentral:rRNA from 1 species
CUAGAUCUCAGUUCGGAUUGCAGGCUGCAACCCGCCUGCAUGAAGUCGGAAUCGCUAGUAAUCGCGGGUCAGCAUACCGCGGUGAAUACGUUCCCGGGCCUUGUACACACCGCCCGUCACACCACGAAAGUUGGUAACACCCGAAGCCGGUGGCCUAACCCUUAGGGGAGGGAGCUGUCGAAGGUGGGACUGAUGAUUGGGGUGAAGUCGUAACAAGGUAUC